UACGUAGGGUGCAAGCGUUGUCCGGAAUUAUUGGGCGUAAAGAGCUCGUAGGCGGUCUGUCACGUCGGAUGUGAAAACUCGGGGCUCAGCCCCGAGCCUGCAUACGAUACGGGCAGACUUGAGUUCGGCAGGGGAGACUGGAAUUCCUGGUGUAGCGGUGAAAUGCGCAGAUAUCAGGAGGAACACCGGUGGCGAAGGCGGGUCUCUGGGCCGAUACUGACGCUGAGGAGCGAAAGCGUGGGGAGCGAACAGG
rnacentral:rRNA from 1 species